AGUAGUAUAACCAAACGCCAGAGACAUCCAUUCUUGCUCGGCUCUGUUCCCCUUCCGCCGCAGCAGGCAGCACGCCGGUCCAAGACCAUGGCGUCCUCUACCACCCCGCCGUCGCCCUUCCGCACGCGCUAAUCCGACUCGCUGCCGCAGGCGCUAAGCCGGCGGGUGAGACACUUCGAACCCGCCGCAGCCCGCAGAAAAGAUCUCGUCGCGCCGGCGCUCAGUCUCGUACACCUCGCCUACAAUGGCGGCUGCCUCCUCCAGCUCCUGCGAGGUCGUGGACCUCGGCUUGGCAGCGAGCUGCGACGAUGCAACCUCACAGCUUUUCUUCAGCAAAGGCGGCGGCGGCGACUUGUCUUGGCCGGCGGCGGCGGAGAUCUCGUCCGCGCUGACGAAGCAAAAAUCGCUGGUGGCCCUGUGCGACAAGUACGGGGUGCCCGGGGAGCUGAAGCCGGUGCGCGCCGUCAGCUUGAGGUGCGCGGCGUGCGAGACGCCGCCCAAGGGCUCGAAUGCCCUGUGCAUCUACUCCGACGCGCUCGAGGCCGGUCUGCGGUUCCCGCUCCACGACUUCUACCUGAAGCUCCUCCGGCACUACCGCCUGGCGCCGAGCCAAUUGGUCCCCAAUGCGUGGAAGUACAUGGCUGCGUUCGUGCUGCGCUGCAAGGACGCCGGCGUCGAGCCGCUGGUCUCCGCCUUCAGAUACUUCUUCUCCCUGUACGCUCACUACAAGUACAAGCACAAGGACAAGCCAACGGGAGCGGGGUGGCACCAUUUCCAGCCCUGCGCCGGCCGUCGCCGCCUCUUCUCCGGCGCUAUGCCCACCAGGUGCGACUGGAAAACUAGGUUCUUCUUCCUUAAAUCCCCGGAGGGGAUGCCGUGGAAGUGCCCGGUGGCGUGGGGCAAGCCCAGGAGGGAGGACGCCCGCGCAGUGGAGCUCACGGAUGCGGCGGUAGACAAGCUGAAGCAGAUGCCGUGCAUCGAUUUGAAGGACUACUUGAGCCUCCAUGCCCCGCCCGUCGGCGCUCUCACCAUGCUGCAGCUGCACUCCACGCCCGCGCCCAUCGUGAAACCGGAGUGCGCAGCGGCCAGCGCCCAAGCUCUGGCUCUCACCUCGCAGGCUCAGCUGCACGCGGUGUUGGAAGCGGGAGCCAGAGCGGCCAGGGCCGCCGACGCCGCCGGUGAGGAUGACGACUCGAUGCCUCGGAAGCGCAGGUGUCCUGGUCUGAGUCCGGCGGCCGUGACGCCUCAAAACUCUACCAUUUCGGCAGCACCGCCGUCGCUGCAGGGGAUGGAAAUUAGACCAGGUACAUCGUUCGAUGGAGCCUCAGGCAGCAGCAGGAUCUCACUGCCGCCGGGGAUUUGUACAGCCAACUCCGACUUUGAGCACGACAUGGUGAGAAUGCAAGGUGAGCAGCGGGACAACCUUAUCGCCCAGCUUCAGGUCAAGUUACAAGAGUCCGAGGCCAAGUUACAAGAGUCUGAUGCUAUGAAUGACAAGUUCUUGGCGUACCUGUAUAAGAAAAAUGCUGAGAAUGACCUUCUCAAGGAGAAGCAUGCCCAGCUCAUCGAGGUGCAGGCGGCUAUUGUCACCCGUGUGAAGGCAGAGCGCGUGGCCGAGGUUGCUAAGCUCGAGGAGGAGCACGCCUCUGCAGUUGUACAGCUCACAAAGCACCUGAACGAGGAGCACGCAGCCAGCAUCGCUCGGCUCAACAAGGAGCAUGCGACCGACCUCGCUCGUGCGAAGGAGAAGCACGCUGCUGAGGUUGCCAAGCUCAACCAGGCGCAUGAUGCUGCCGUCACCUGGCUCAAGGAGGAGCAUUCGGUAGAUGUUGCCCGUGUGCAGCAAGCUGCAGAGGAUGUGGUGCAGGAUGUAAAGAAGGACAUAGCGCUCGCCCUAUUCCCUGACCUGGAUGCUUCAUUGCUGUGAUCAGAUCAUGAACCACGUUCCUGAAGCAUUCUGGAAAGAGCUUGAUCAAGCGAAGCAACUGUGGAAGAACAGAAAUGAUCUGAAGGUUGAGCAUGCGGGUGUUGCUGCACUCUUCGGUAGCAAGCUGUAUGUGUGGUUCUGCGCCAGCGAGAUUGUUGUGAGCAGGGGUAUAUAGCUCAAUAUCAAAGAGUGCUGCAACACCGGCACACUCAACUUUCAGACCAUUAACCAUUUCUGUUCUUCACAGCUGCUCCACUUGAUCAAGCUCUUUCCAGACUGCUUCAUAGCGACCAGGAACUUGAGAUGUGUAUAGCAGUGACUAAAAAGAAGACUAGAAACAAUAAUAUGAGAAAAAAAGUUAAUCACAUUGUCUUACCACAUCCAUGGGAAGGCCAGCUCUGCUGGAGGAGCUCCUUAUUUUGAUGAUCGCCAGCCUUCGUCUAGAGACUGAGUUCCCGAAGUUUAGUAGGAGAAAUGCAGUCAGUUCUGAAGCAAUAUAUAUAGAAGGACCUUGCUACCUGGUCAAGAUGAUUUUGGCAUGGCCAUGGCAGGGCUCUAGAAUGUAUGCUUGUCAUCAGUUUGGUAUUUGCUCUUGUCUGGUAUAUGUAUGUAUCUGAUGAGAUUGACGAGUGAAUACUGUUGGUGUAGACCCAGUGGUCUUUUGCUUUCUAAAUGUAUAACUGUUUUAACCUGGAAUGCUCCCUAAACCUUCCCCCUGAUCUAGCUCAGUGAAACAAAAACACUGUACUGUGCCAUUACUGAUGAUAAUGGAAAUGAUGCGGAAGAUUGGGAUAA